AGGGGCUUGCUCCUUAAUUUAGUGGCGCACGGGUGAGUAACGCGUAGAUMAUCUGCCUGAUGAUCUGGGAUAACACUUYGAAAGGGGUGCUAAUACCGGAUAAGCCCACMGGAUCUUUGGAUCCAGCGGGAAAAGGGGGGGACCUUCGGGCCUUCUGUCAUCAGAUGAGUCUGCGUACCAUUAGCUAGUUGGUAGGGUAAUGGCCUACCAAGGCUACGAUGGUUAGCUGGUCUGAGAGGAUGAUCAGCCACACUGGAACUGRGGCACGGUCCRGACUCCUACGGGRGGCAGCAGUGGGGAAUUUUGCGCAAUGGGCGAAAGCCUGACGCAGCAACGCCGCGUGAGUGAUGAAGGCUUUCGGGUCGUAAAGCUCUGUCAAGGGGAAAGAAGUGUAUUGCAGCUAAUAUCUGCGAUACUUGACGG
rnacentral:rRNA from 2 species